ensembl:lncRNA
CAAAGGAGGUUAACAGUAGAGCGUGAAUGGGAAAAGGUCCUUCCAGCCCUUGUUCAUGAGGGUCCAUCGUCCACAAACUCACCCAUUUUCAGGUGUCGAGUGCAUGAAAGGCUCCAGGGAGCACACCACACAGCGAAUGGUUGCGUUGGGCGACGACAGGACUCAAAUAGCCCCCCUAAAAGCAGAAGUGAGAGGCCAGCUGUGUCCAUGAGACAGAGUGGAGAACACCUGCACAGACAGGACCGCUAUAUUUGCAUACAUGUAUGUAAUCCGUUAUGUAACAGUUGCUCUCUGUGGUCCUGCUUUGGUACAGUGACUUGUUUCUGACAUGGUUGGAUGACUUUCACACAUUUUACUAAUAAAAGAAGACUCUUGAAACAGGCUUUGUUCUCAGUGAACCUUUUCUAUUGCACUUCUUUUUAGCUCAAAUAAUUGAACGGCUCGUUUGUAUUUGAGUGUAUUUACAGAUCUAAAACCUAUAGAAAGUGGCAGAAAGUAAGUUUUAGAGGAGUGUAAUGAGGACGAUGUUCUCAUCCUUGCGUCCCAUGCUCAUCUCAGCUGGAAUCACAACUGCACACUAGUCAGAUCACAAUAUAUAUGCAAUGUUUAUAGCACAAGGCUAUCUGUUAAGGUAGUAAGUAAAAUAAAGGAAGAAGCUCACCGUUCAUUCACAUUCUGUCCGUUUUUAUUCAUGUAAAUGUUCCCAGCUCAUUUCAUCACAUGGCAUUCUCCAUAAAAUGUGUUGGGCAAGGCUUUACUUGAACUCUUCUACAUAAUAUUGGCAUGAUAAACAUAUCAGGGCAGAUAACAUAUACUGUCAUGAGGUGUCCUGUCCAGAAAUAAAACAGUCUCGUGUGUUUUCACUGUAAAAUUACUGUAAGUCCAAUUUAAUGGCCACAAUAUGAGAAAGUGGGAGUCUGAAACAUUAAAAAGGGACUUUAAUGACCUUUAACACACUCAGCGAGCCCAACCUGCAGUCAUUUAGCAGCGUUCCUCUGCCUGCAUGGAGAACCGAUAUAUUCUCAGGGCCACUUGGAUUGAAUGCUGAGCUACAUAAAAGCUGCAGGUCAAACAGACUGACCUGUU